rnacentral:snRNA from 1 species
AGAUGUUAAGACUCUCUGGCUCUGACAUCUGUCACUCCAUUGACUGUCAGGGUUAAUUUGGCUGAUUUGGCUGGCUAGGCAGGUGUCCCCUUUGUCUCUCGCUGCUCCAUGUGUGCUUGGCCAAAGGGACGAUCUUACCUGAUAGAGGAGAACCAUUCUUUAGACAAGGGUAUGUGAGUAGCUGCACUCCCCUGCUAGAACCUCUAAAUAAGCUUUCAAAGAUGAUACUUCCACUUUUUUACCUUCUACCAGAAAAGAUUUAAUACAAUUUAUACAAUGACUUAUGUUCCUUCCAUU